CUGCUAUCACUCUUGGGAUGGACCUGCGGUGCAUUAGCUAGUUGGUAGGGUAACGGGCCUACCAAGGCGAUGAUGCAUAGCCGAGUUGAGAGACUGAUCGGCCACAUUGGGGACUGAGACACGGCCCAAAAACUCCUACGGGAGGCAGCAGUAGGGAAUCUUCCACAAUGGACGCAAGGUCUGAUGGAGCAACGCCGCGUGAGUGAAGAAGGGUUUCGGCUCGUAAAGCUCUGUUGUUGGUGAAGAAGGACAGGGGUAGUAACUGACCUUUGUUUGACGGUAAUCAAUUAGAAAGUCACGGCUAACUACGUGCCAGCAGCCGCGGUAAU
rnacentral:rRNA from 1 species